rnacentral:rRNA from 1 species
AACACGUGGGCAACCUGCCUGUAAGUUGGGGAUAACUCCGGGAAACCGGGGCUAAUACCGAAUGAUAAAGUGUGGCGCAUGCCACGCUUUUGAAAGAUGGUUUCGGCUAUCGCUUACAGAUGGGCCCGCGGUGCAUUAGCUAGUUGGUAGGGUAAUGGCCUACCAAGGCAACGAUGCAUAGCCGACCUGAGAGGGUGAUCGGCCACACUGGGACUGAGACACGGCCCAGACUCCUACGGGAGGCAGCAGUAGGGAAUCUUCCGCAAUGGACGAAAGUCUGACGGAGCAACGCCGCGUGUAUGAAGAAGGUUUUCGGAUCGUAAAGUACUGUUGUUAGAGAAGAACAAGGAU